UCUAACAUGUGCGCGAGUCAUUGGGAUUUUUUUAAACCUAAAGGCGCAAUGAAAGUGAAGGUCGUCCUCAGCGUCGACCGAGGGAGGAUGGCUCGCGUCACGAUGCGAGCCCGCACUCCCGGGGCGUCUCGUGCUCAUUGCGAGCAGAGGCGCACCCAGAGCGUACACGUUGGGACCCGAAAGAUGGUGAACUAUGCCUGGUCAGGACGAAGUCAGGGGAAACCCUGAUGGAGGUCCGUAGCGAUUCUGACGUGCAAAUCGAUCGUCGGAACUGGGUAUAGGGGCGAAAGACUAAUCGAACCAUCUAGUAGCUGGUUCCCUCCGAAGUUUCCCUCAGGAUAGCUGGCACUCGCUUGAGCGAGUCUCAUCUGGUAAAGCGAAUGAUUAGAGGCCUUGGGGCCGAAACGACCUCAACCUAUUCUCAAACUUUAAAUGGGUGAGAUCUCUGGCUUGCUUGAACGUUGAAGCCACGAGAGCACAUAUUGUGCAAUGGAUCAGAGUGCCAAGUGGGCCAAUUUUGGUA
rnacentral:rRNA from 1 species